CUCCAGCCUGGGCAACAGAGUGAGACUCUGUUUCAAAAAAAAAAAAAUUAUACAAAGAUUUCCAUGGUAGCACUCAUUCUCAUAAUAGUAGUAUAGAGUAGUGGUAGUACUCUUUUGGAAAGAGUUAUGCUCUUUCAAAAAUAAUUGAAGACACAAAUCCCCAUGGAGGGAGAAUAUCCAACUAAAUAUAUAAUAAGUCUCUAUAGAGUUUCUGUAGAAUUUUUCUCUAUAUAGAAUUUCUUUUUAACAAUCUUUAAUUUAUGCUGGCACAUUAUAAUUGUACAGAAUUUCUAGAGAAACUCUUUAUAGACAUUAAAAAUGAUUAAUUGUGUUGACCAUAUCAAUAUCUGGAAUUGUUAAUAAAACAGGAAUUAAUAAAAAUUAAUAAUUACAAUUGUUAAUUGCAAAAAUCAGAUCAUGAUGGUAUAUAAGUACAGUGGUGUAAAUCUUACACGCUAUUCAUGCUGAAUAUUGUUAAUACAUAGUUGUCUUAUUUUUAAAAUAAUUUCAUCUGCUUUUGACUUUGUACCUGUUUCUCUCUGGCAGUGUUCCCUGGUUAGGAUGCCAUAACUUCAUUUUGGUCCACUGUGAAGAAGUGAAUUGUGGCUUCUCCAAUCUUUCUUCCCUUGAUCACAUUUUCAGCACGAGGUUACGUCUGAUACGACCAAGCACUUCAGUGAAGGACCUAUAAGGAGGAGAAAUCAGGAAAGGUUAAAAUUACAAGAACUAGAAGAAGAAAGGAAAAAAGAAAAGAGAAGAAGAAGUAGCUGAA
rnacentral:lncRNA from 13 species